UGGAAGAGAGAAGGAAGUUGUACCGGUGAGCCCUCCUCCCCUGACCCCACGUGAGCUGCUGAUGCUUCCAGCACCCACGCCUGAUUUCCUUCCUGCCCUACAGAGCGCGUGCGGGACUCCUGGAAGGAAGAUGCCUUAUUUGGGUACCAGUUUCUUAAUGGCGCCAACCCCGUGGUGCUGAGGCGCUCUGCUCACCUUCCUGCUCGCCUAGUGUUCCCUCCAGGCAUGGAGGAACUGCAGGCCCAGCUGGAGAAGGAGCUGGAGGCCCUGUGUGUGGUGUAGAGUUCCUAGAUGACAAGACAGAGUCCAUGUCCUCAAGGAAUGUGCGGUUAUACGAAGGAUGCAGGCACAGAAACACACAAGCCCAGGGAUGGAAGGGUGGAGAAACGCCACCCUCUUGACGAAGAAGAGGGCUCUGGGCAGCCUGUGGCUGGAGAAGUUACCUCGGAUCCUUUAGCCAGAGCAAAUCCGCCCCCUAGUAGCAGCACGAUGCCCCAGGGCACUUUCUCCUGGGUUACCUUCCAAUCCAGCAGGGGAGGGGGAUAAAAUGGAGUUUUCCUUUCUGGGAAGAAAAAGAAACACACACACACACACACACACACACACACACACACACACACACACACACACCAGAGCAGCAUUAGAAGACAAAAGAAAUCUAAUCAAGGGGGAAUAAAGCUAAUAAGGACAAUGAGGUACCAUCUCCUACUUAUAAAUUAGCUAAAGUUUACAAUAAUAUAUACAUUGCUGGUGAGGAUAUGAUCAAACUAUUACACACACUGCCAAUAGCAUCGUAAAUUGGUAUGACCUUUUUGAAAAGCAAUUUGGCCAUACAUUUUAAGGGCCAUUAAGACUUUGUAUUCUAUCACCCCAGCAAUAUUACUCCUAGAAGUUUAUCCUAAAGAAAAAAUACCCUCAAAGGAAAAGCUAUAUGCAAGAAAACAUUAAUUUAUGAAAAUAAAAAAUUCAAAACAGCC
rnacentral:lncRNA from 1 species